rnacentral:rRNA from 1 species
AUUGAACGCUGGCGGCAUGCCUUACACAUGCAAGUCGAACGGCAGCACGGGUGCUUGCACCUGGUGGCGAGUGGCGAACGGGUGAGUAAUAUAUCGGAACGUACCUUAUCGUGGGGGAUAACGCAGCGAAAGCUGCGCUAAUACCGCAUACGCCCUGAGGGGGAAAGCGGGGGACCGUAAGGCCUCGCGCGAUUAGAGCGGCCGAUAUCUGAUUAGCUUGUUGGUGGGGUAAAAGCCCACCAAGGCGACGAUCAGUAGCUGGUCUGAGAGGACGAUCAGCCACACUGGGACUGAGACACGGCCCAGACUCCUACGGGAGGCAGCAGUGGGGAAUUUUGGACAAUGGGGGCAACCCUGAUCCAGCAAUGCCGCGUGAGUGAAGAAGGCCUUCGGGUUGUAAAGGCUCUUUUGUUCAGGGAAGGAAAC